rnacentral:rRNA from 1 species
AUUGAACGCUGGCGGCAUGCCUUACACAUGCAAGUCGAACGGCAGCACGGGAGCAAUCCUGGUGGCGAGUGGCGAACGGGUGAGUAAAGUAUCGGAACGUGCCCAGUCGUGGGGGAUAACGUAGCGAAAGGUACGCUAAUACCGCAUACGAUCUAUGGAUGAAAGCGGGGGAUCGCAAGACCUCGCGCGAUUGGAGCGGCCGAUAUCAGAUUAGGUAGUUGGUUGGGUAAAGGCUCACCAAGCUGACGAUGUGUAGCUGGUCUGAGAGGACGACCAGCCACACUGGGACGGAGACACGGCCCAGACUCCUACGGGAGGCAGCGGUGGGGAAUUUUGGACAAUGGGCGCAAGCCUGAUCCAGCCAUGCCGCGUGCAGGAUGAAGGCCUUCGGGUUGUAAACUGCUUUUGUACGGAACGAAAAGGUUUGACUUAAUACGUUGGACUCAUGACGGUACCGUAAGAAUAAGCACCGGCUAACUACGUGCCAGCCGCCGCGGUAA